rnacentral:rRNA from 1 species
GACGAACGCUGGCGGCGUGCUUAACACAUGCAAGUCGAACGGAAAGGCCCGGCGUUUGUGGGGUUCUCGAUUGGCGAACGGGUGAGUAACACGUGUGUAACCUGUCCUUGAAUUUGGGAGAACUCCAGGAAACAGGGGCGAAUACAGGGGAGGAUCUCCUGAUGCGUGGGGGUGGAUGGAGAGAUUCGGCGUUGGUGGAAGGACUCGCUGGUUAUCAGCUUGAUGGUGGGGUAGUGGCUGACCAAGGCUUUGACGGGUAGGCGGCCUGAGAGGGUGACCGGCCACCUUGGGACUGAGAUACGGCCCAGACUGCUACGGGAGCGCGCAGUGGGGAAUCUUGCACAAUGAGCGGAAGCCUGAUGCAGCAACGCCGCGUGCGGGAUGACGGCCUUAGGGUUGUAAACCGAUUUCGCCUGUGACGAAGCGUGAGUGACGGUAAUCGGUACAGAAGCCCCGGCUAACUACCUG